rnacentral:rRNA from 1 species
CACGUAGGGGGCGAGCGUUGUCCGGAUUUAUUGGGCGUAAAGAGCUCGUAGGCGGCUCAGUAAGUCAGGUGUGAAAACUCCAGGCUCAACCUGGAGACGCCACCUGAUACUGCUGUGGCUAGAGUCCGGUAGGGGAGCAUGGAAUUCCUGGUGUAGCGGUGAAAUGCGCAGAUAUCAGGAGGAACACCGAUGGCGAAGGCAGGUCUCUGGGCCGAUACUGACGCUGAGGAGCGAAAGCGUGGGGAGCGAACAGG